UUCACUUCAAGCCAAAGCUGCUGCAAGCAAGGCGGGCUAACUCCACGUGACAAGCCUGCCGGGUCAUGUGAUGCAACUACGUCUUCCUCGCUGCCGUAAACUUUCCUCCCGCAUAUCCCAAACAAACGAACAUGGCGGACUUCGAGGAGCGGCAGAACCUGCUGGAAGAUGGGGACGACGUGCCGCUCCCCGGCAGACAGACAGCCGGAGGACCCGGCAGACCCUUACCCGCUAUCUGCGACCCCAGCCACCUACUGCACCGAGUGGUUGUGCUGGUAUUCAUGUGCUUCCUGGGAUUUGGAAGCUACUUCUGUUAUGACAACCCGGCUGCUCUUCAAACUCAAGUCAUACAGGAUCUGAACCUGAACACUGCAAAGUUCAUGCAGCUGUAUGCCUGGUACUCAUGGCCCAAUGUGGUUCUCUGCUUCUUUGGGGGAUUCAUGAUUGACAGGGUUUUUGGUAUCAGGUUGGGAACUGUCAUCUUCUCCCUCUUUGUCUGUGCUGGUCAGAUCGUGUUUGCUACUGGAGCCUUGGUGAAUCGUUUCUGGCUCAUGGAAGUUGGACGUUUCAUAUUCGGUAUCGGAGGAGAGUCCUUGGCUGUGGCGCAGAACACGUAUGCAGUCAACUGGUUCAAAGGGAAGGAGCUCAACCUGGUGUUCGGCCUUCAGCUGAGCAUGGCUCGAGUGGGCAGCACAGUAAACAUGAACAUCAUGGGCUGGGUGUACAGCAAAGUUGCAACCCUUGUUGGUGCUCCUGGAUACACCACACUAGGAGCAUCACUCAUGAUAGCUUCUGUAACCUGCCUGUUUUCACUCACGUGCGCCUUGGUUUUGGGAUUCCUGGACAGAAGAGCAGAGAGGAUCCUCAAUAAGGAACAAGGAAAAACAGGGGAAGUGAUCAAGCUAACAGACGUGAAAGACUUCCCCUUCCCCCUGUGGCUCAUCUUCAUCAUUUGUGUGGGAUACUAUGUUGCUAUUUUUCCCUUCAUUGGGCUUGGACAGGUGUUCUUCAUUGAAAAAUUCAACUUCUCUCCAGCUGAGGCCAGAGCUGUCAACAGUAUUGUGUACAUCAUCUCAGCCCCUGCAUCUCCAAUUUUGGGCUUCAUGGUUGACAGGACAGGGAGAAAUGUGAUUUGGGUUAUGAUUGCAGUGAUCGCCACCCUCGCCGCUCACAUGAUGCUGGCCUUCACGUUUUGGAACCCAUGGAUUGCCAUGUCCCUCCUGGGUGUCUCGUACUCCUUACUGGCCUGCGCUCUGUGGCCCAUGGUGGCCUUUGUGGUGCCUGAGCAUCAGCUGGGGACAGCCUAUGGCUUCAUGCAGUCCAUCCAGAACCUGGGACUUGCGCUCAUUGCCAUGGCAGCAGGAUCCAUCCUUGACACCAGAGGAUACCUGGUUUUAGAAGUGUUUUUCUGCACCUGCAUCUGCAUGGCACUGAUAGCGGUGGUGGUGCUGUACUUCGUGGAUUAUCUCAGAGGAGGAGAUCUGAACCGGUCAGCUGCAGCCAGAGCCAGACUCCAGAAAGAAGCCACUCCAGAUGCAGAAUGAUGAUGAUUAGGAGGGAACACACAUCGUCCUGGGCUUCAGAGCCAGUCUGCUGCACUGUCCUCCCCACAGCUGUCAAUCAACUACCAUGGGGCAGGACUGCACUACUGACUCCGCCCAGUGCCGUCAUCUGUGGCACUUCCCACCAGAACUGACUGUCUGGACCUGUCUUUACAUAACUGACCGUGAAUUAACAGCUUUUCAGGACUUUGACAAAUGAUACGUAACAGUUAGGACUGUCUGACUUCUCAUGCUGACUUAAUCUCUUCCAAAGUUCACUUUCGACUUAUUGGUUUUUGUGUGUGUGUGUGUGUGUGUGUGUGUGUGUGUGUGUGUGUGUGCGUGUGCGUGUGGGCGUGUGUGUGUGGUUGUAAAGAAAGUUAAGAUGCUUUUUAAGCAUUUUAACCUUUUAAUUAUUCAGCAGAGGAUGAUCUGCUGUGAAAAGGUGCCUAAAUCCUUCUUAAAAAAGUGCUUGAUUUUAUAACAUAUUAAUGGAAUUACCAAUAUAGAAUUUCUAUAUUAAUUCACUUGUUUUAUAUGUAUAUAGGAGUAACUCUGUGGGUGUUUUUAAAUGUUUUUAUACCUUUCUUUUUUUUGUUUUUAAAAAAUAUUGUCAACUGUUACUUGCUGUUUUGCAGACAACUCAGCAAUACAUUUUUGAUCAUAUCAUCAGCACUCAUAAGUAAUUGCCAAUCAUAUCCGUACUUACUGGACUCUCCCUAGGCAAACUAAGUUCAUUUUCAGUUUAAUCAUACGUCUCAUUGACCUUUCACGGUGAAUAAUCUCAAAAAGAGCAUAGCUUUUUAUUCCUUAAGUUUUUAUUGCUUAAUUCUUUUAUAUCUUAAUUCCUUUAUCUGCUCUUCACUGGCUGCAGUUCAUAAAAAUUCAUUUUCUGUUGCAUCAUCAAAUGGCAAAUUACUAUAGAGAUAAGGAAAAGAGAGCAUUACACUUUUGAAUGCAUUUACCCGUGUAAUGGUAUUCACAUUUUCAACUUUUAACAAAUUGUUUUAUUAACGUGACCUUUUUAAAGAUUAAUUUCCACACAUUAAUUAUGUAGACUGCGUUUUGCUCGUUUAUCAAGCUCAGGUAAUUAACUCGUUGUGUGCAAUGCCCCAAACUUUUACUUCCCUUAUCUGGAGGAUGAGACAAAAUGUUCUUGCACUAUGUUAAACUCUCACCAUUCCAGUUACUGGGAAUUCGAUUUGUCUCCCAGUGAUGUCAUCAGGGAUGACUGUGGAUGAUGAACAUUCACUACCUCAGUUAGGCAAAUAAGUCGACAUUAUGUAAUGGGUAACCUGCUGAGAAUCUUGGUUUGUUUUCUCCCAUUGUUUAAUAUUUUAUUUGCAUUAGCGAUAUGAAGUGAACAGCAGGGUGUGCUAGGACAAUGACUUCCCCAGUUAGUAUGGUUACAGGUAGCCUACUAAAGAGCACACUUGUGACCAAAUAAGUGAUGCUACAUAGAGUCAGAGGUGAACCAGAUUUGAAACACUUUUCAAUCUGCUGUGAAGUUACUCUAUAUGUAAAUGCCUGAUGCAUUUAAGAAGACUAUAAAUAGAGUUUAAUUAAGAUGUUAUUAUUGCACAUCAAACAUGACCUCAGUGGGAUACAGAAAUAUACAAGCUGCUCUCCUGAAUUGUCAGUCGUCUGCACUUUAGUAUUCUGACAGCAGUGAAGUCAGUCUUUGCUUACUGAGGGUACUGAGGUUCAUGUUAAGGUUUUAAUCUGUUUAAGAAUUAUUCCUGAGUAAUUGCAGAUCUACUACACAAUUAGAGGGAAAUCAGAAGGAAAGUAACUUGAAAAGCCUGUUUUUUGUUCAACCAAAUCCCAUUUAUACCCGAUUGUUCAUGGUACAACAGAAAUCAAUUAAACACUUUCAUGAAGCAUUUGUAUUCUCUGUCAUUGUACCUUUAUUUUUCUGCAUUAGAUUUGUUUGGUUACAAGUUAAAUCUGUGUUUUCAGAAACAGGUUGUUGGCAACUUGUGCUGGUGGUAAUGUUAGUAAUUAUACUCGUGUUAGAGCUGGCUGUAGAAGUGAUCAUAGACAGCUAUAUUAUUGUUAUUCCUGCAGGAUUAAAAGGCGACCAAGUCAACUGGCAGUGGGUGAACAUACUAGACUAGCACCCAUGUCUGCUUUUGGCUUACGGAACAGAUACCUCUCCAGGCUGGGCGCACAGCUCCCAGACCACUGUUCCACCCAUCUGUCAUCACUGGCCUACAGGAGUGUUCUGAAAUGACACCCUUCAUUCAGCUGUCUGCACCUUCAGUACUGUAGCUCUACUGCAUCCAUACAAGUAUGCACUAACAAAAAAAGAGGUUGCGUACAAAGGGACCUCUUAUGCACAAGCACUUUAUACCUUUAGAGUAUUUUUAACCUACAAGGCUGUUUAUUGUUCUGGAUGUUAAACUGGGGAUGUUUUCAAACUUUUCAUUAUCACCAAAGAGUGUUAUUUUGCACAAGUUUAAAUUGAUUUUCUAUUCUUCUCACACUUGAGGUGUUGCACCUGUUUAUAGAAUCCACUCUGUUAGUUUUUUUUUUUUGUACCAUGUAAACACAAUGCUUAGUGGUGCUGUUUUAGGAAUGUUACCUUUUUCAAACAGUAGAGGGCGCCAACUCUCUCAAAUGUUUGUCACCUGUAGCGGGAGUAUCAUUGCGUUUUAAUAACAGCCUUCAACAGGUUCAGCAUUUACAGUUUCAUUUAGUGCCUUUCAUUUUACUGGGCACUCAUGUUUUAAAGGUUACAGUAAGUUGCAGUUCAUUAUAGUGAUCAACACAAUUAACUCACAAGUUAGGGACUCUCUAUGACCUGUUGAAUGUUGCCAACUUUUUUUAUAUAUAAAACAAUAAAAUGAGUUAUUGUAGAUU